AUACGUAGGGUGCGAGCGUUGUCCGGAAUUACUGGGCGUAAAGAGCUCGUAGGUGGUUUGUCGCGUCGUCUGUGAAAUUCCGGGGCUUCACUCCGGGCGUGCAGGCGAUACGGGCAUAACUUGAGUACUGUAGGGGGGACUGGAAUUCCUGGUGUAGCGGGGCAAUGCGCAGAUAUCAGGAGGAACACCGGUGGCGAAAGCGGGUCUCUGGGCAGUAACUGACGCUGAGGAGCGAAAGCAUGGGUAGCGAACAGGAUUAGAUACCCUGGUAGUCCAUGCCGUAAACGGUGGGCGCUAGGUGUAGGGGUCUUCCACGACUUCUGUGCCGUAGCUAACGCAUUAAGCGCCCCGCCUGGGGAGUACGGCCGCAAGGCUAAAACUCAAAUGAAUUGACGGGG
rnacentral:rRNA from 1 species